GAUGAACGCUAGCGACAGGCUUAACACAUGCAAGUCGAGGGGUAACAGGGUAGCAAUACCGCUGACGACCGGCGCACGGGUGAGUAACGCGUAUGCAACCUGCCUAUAACUGGGGAAUAGCUCCCUGAAAGGGGAAUUAACACCGCAUAACACUAUUGAUUCGCAUGGAUUGGUAGUUAAAUGUAGCGAUACAGGUUAUAGAUGGGCAUGCGUGACAUUAGCUAGUUGGUGAGGUAACGGCUCACCAAGGCUACGAUGUCUAGGGGUUCUGAGAGGAAGGUCCCCCAACUGGUACUGAGACACGGACCAGACUCCUACGGGAGGCAGCAGUGAGGAAUAUUGGUCAAUGGGCGCAAGCCUGAACCCAGCCAUGUCGCGUGCAGGAAGACUGCCCUAUGGGUUGUAAACUGCUUUUAAGUAGAAGAAACCAUCUACGCGUAGAUGUCUGCCAGUACUAGAAUAGAUCGA
rnacentral:rRNA from 1 species